AUUGAACGCUGGCGGCAUGCUUUACACAUGCAAGUCGAACGGUAACAGGCCGCAAGGUGCUGACGAGUGGCGAACGGGUGAGUAAUGCAUCGGAACGUGCCCAGUCGUGGGGGAUAACUACUCGAAAGAGUAGCUAAUACCGCAUACGAUCUAUGGAUGAAAGCGGGGGACCGUAAGGCCUCGCGCGAUUGGAGCGGCCGAUGUCAGAUUAGGUAGUUGGUGGGGUAAAGGCUCACCAAGCCAACGAUCUGUAGCUGGUCUGAGAGGACGACCAGCCACACUGGGACUGAGACACGGCCCAGACUCCUACGGGAGGCAGCAGUGGGGAAUUUUGGACAAUGGGCGCAAGCCUGAUCCAGCAAUGCCGCGUGCAGGAAGAAGGCCUUCGGGUUGUAAACUGCUUUUGUACGGAACGAAACGGCUCUGGUUAAUACCCGGGGCUAAUGGCGGUACCGUAAGAAUAAGCACCGGCUAACUACGU
rnacentral:rRNA from 1 species